GAGAAAGCGUCCCUCUAGCGCGAGUGAAGUGAGUUCGGGAACAACUGAAAGUGUGGCUGUCCAGGGGAAAGUACAGGGUUGUUGGAGGGUCCUGUUGGAGGGUGAACCUUCGCCCCAGUCUGAGCUUCUGAGCACUUGUCACGCUUGUCGUUGGAAAUGGAGGACCAAAACGCAGCAGGCUCCCAGUUCCUGCCACUGAAAAACAACCCCACAGCAUGAUGCUGCCACCACCAUGCUUCACCGUAGGGAUGAUGCCAGGUCUCCUCCAGACGUGACACUUGGCAUUCAGACCAAAGAGUUCAAUCUUGGUUUCAUCAGACCAGAGAAU
rnacentral:lncRNA from 1 species